AGUCGUGAUAUGCUUGUUUCAAAGAUUAAGCCAUGCACGUGUAGGUUUAGGCCUUUGGUCGAGACCGCGAAUAGCUCAAUAAUCCAGUGAUAAUCUCGUCGGCGUGAACGUCUCGGAUACCCGCGGGAAUUCUGUGGAUAAUCCGCGUUGCUCAUCGAGCAGGCACUCGUUGUCAGAUGUAAGCCAUCCUCGUCGAAGGCGAACCAUGACAUCGAUGUCGAAUGCGCCCAGCGCGACGUGCCGAACGAGUUUCUGCCCUAUCAUCUUGUCGGUAGGAUAUGGGCCUACCGAGGAUGCAACGGGUGACGGGAAAUCAGGGUUUGAUUCCGGAGAGGGAGCCUGAGAGACGGCUACCACAUCCAAGGAAGGCAGCAGGCGCGCAAAUUACCCAAUCCCCGAAGGGUGAGGUAGUGACGAGACGUAACAACGUCGUGCUCAUAGAGUGGGACGAUUGGAAUGGGAGCGAUCUAAACCCCCCAUCGAGGAACGACUGGAGGGCAAGUCUGGUGCCAGCAUCUGCGGUAAUUCCAGCUCCAGUAGCGUAUAUGAAAUUUGUUGCGGUUGAAAAGCUCGUAGUCGGAGCUAGGGCACGGUCGCUUGGGUCUCGCAUCACGCCUGUACUUCGACGGACGUGCCCCGACGGUCGAAGGGCGGCUCCUGGGCUUCGUUGUUCGGGACCGUUCCUUGGCAGGGUUACUUUGAGGAAAUUUGAGUGCUCAAGGCACGCGACACGCGUGACUUCACUAGCAUGGAAUAACAUCGAUGGGCUCCUGCCAUCCUGUUGGCUUGACGGCUCGGAGCAACGAUCGAUAGGAGUGGCUCGGGGGUGUCCGUACCGACGGAGGAGAGGUGAAAUUCUUGGACCCUGUCGAGACGAACCUAUGCGAAAGCAGUCGCCAAGGACUCUUCCUUGUGAUCAAGAGCGAAAGUUGGGGGAUCGAAGAUGAUUAGAUACCGUCGUAGUCCUAACCGUAAACGAUGCCGUCUGGGGAUCGUCGAGUUGGGGCAAUCUGACUCGACGGCACCCUUCGAGAAAUCAAAGACUAUGGGUUCCGGGGAUAGUAUGGUGGCAACGCUGAAAUUUGAAGGAAUUGACGGAAGGGCACCACCAGGCGUGGAUGCUGCGGCUUAAUUUGACUCAACACGGGGAACCUUACGGGGUUUGGACACAGGUAGGAUUGACGGAUUGAAAGCUCUUUCUUGAUUCCGUGGAUGGUGGUGCAUGGCCGAUCUCAGCCCGUGGGUUGACUUGUCAGGUUCACUCCGGUAACGCGCGAGACCCCGACCUGCCAAAUAGCGCACCUCGGCAUGCCGGGUGCCGCGCUUCUUGGAGGGACUUCCGGUGAGAACCGGUUGAAGUCGGGGCAAUAUCAGGUCAGUGAUGCCCUUAGUUAUCCUCGGUUGCACGCGUCCUACAAUGUGGCGUCCAACGAGUUCUCCCCUUGCCCGAGAGGCUUGGGUAAUCUGUGAAGAGCGCCACGUGACGGGGCUAGACUCUUGAUAUUCUUGGUCUUCAACGAGGAAUGCCUAGUAGUCGUGGGUCAGUAUCCCACGACGAUUACGUCCCUGCCCUUUGUACACACCGCCCGUCGCUGAUCCUGAUGGCAGCAUUGACGAAAUCGGGGGACGGAUGGCCGGCCUUCGGGCCGAGCGACCGGAACCUGCUAAGCCAAUUUUGCUAGAGGAAUCAGAAGUCGUAACAAGGUCUCCGUUGGGGAACCAGCGGAGGGAUCAUUCAGAGGUUGUUGUUUUGCCGUGGUGCCGUCUUUCGUGCGGUUUUUGUGUUUGUGUGUUUGUGUAGCUCUGUUCUGUUCCGGAUCAGCGGCAACGAUGGAUUACUCGGCUCGUGCCUCGAUGAAGGACGCCGCGAAAUGCGAAACGUGAUGCGAAUUGCAGGAUCUCGUGAGUCAUUCGUUCUCCCAACGCACAUGCGCUCGAGACGGAAGUCGAGAGCACGCCAGCGAUCUAUCAGGUGCUGACCACGGGCCCCCGCGCUUGCGGGGCCGCCCUCGAGCGCGCAUCGCGCGCUCCACGACGGGACCAGCUCCCGGUGCGCUCCUCCUUUUGCGAGAGGCGUCCCACCUCGGGAAGUCGUGCCUGAUGUUGGCGAGGAAACCCGCUGAAGUUAAGCAUAUCAAUAAGCGGAGGAAGAGAAACCAACGGGGAUGCCCCUAGUAGCGGCGAGCGAAAAGGGUGGAGUUUCUCAAGCCGAAUCGCGACCGCGCGAGUUGUGGCUAGGGGAUGCAAUGGGGUGCCGGGCGCGCGGGGGGUUAUCAAGUGAUUUUGGAACUUCCCGUCAAAGAGGGUGAAAGCCCCGUCCCCUCCGCGCACGCCCGGGUCCGUUCCUGCGCCCGAGAGUCGGGUUGCUUGAGAUCGCAACCCAAAGCGGGAGGUGAAUUCCUUCUAAAGCUACACACGUGCGCGAGUCCGAUAGAGGACAAGUACCGUGAGGGAAAGUUGAAAAGAACUCUGGAGAGAGAGUGCAAAGUAUAUGAAAUCGUUGCCGAGGAACGGUGCCUGCGUGCUCUUGUGGAGGGGAGCGCCUCCUCCCGGCCCGCCAAGCGGCGGCCGUGUGCCCCGCAUCCGCGAGCCGGGACCUGGCGCUUUGCCC
rnacentral:rRNA from 1 species